GGGUAGUUUGACUGGGGCGGUCUCCUCCUAAAGAGUAACGGAGGAGCACGAAGGUUGGCUAAUCCUGGUCGGACAUCAGGAGGUUAGUGCAAUGGCAUAAGCCAGCUUGACUGCGAGCGUGACGGCGCGAGCAGGUGCGAAAGCAGGUCAUAGUGAUCCGGUGGUUCUGAAUGGAAGGGCCAUCGCUCAACGGAUAAAAGGUACUCCGGGGAUAACAGGCUGAUACCGCCCAAGAGUUCAUAUCGACGGCGGUGUUUGGCACCUCGAUGUCGGCUCAUCACAUCCUGGGGCUGAAGUAGGUCCCAAGGGUAUGGCUGUUCGCCAUUUAAAGUGGUACGCGAGCUGGGUUUAGAACGUCGUGAGACAGUUCGGUCCCUAUCUGCCGUGGGCGCUGGAGAACUGAGGGGGGCUGCUCCUAGUACGAGAGGACCGGAGUGGACGCAUCACUGGUGUUCGGGUUGUCAUGCCAAUGGCACUGCCCGGUAGCUAAAUGCGGAAGAGAUAAGUGCUGAAAGCAUCUAAGCACGAAACUUGCCCCGAGAUGAGUUCUCCCUGAGACUUAGAGUCUCCUGAAGGAACGUUGAAGACGACGACGUUGAUAGGCCGGGUGUGUAAGCGCAGCGAUGCGUUGAGCUAACCGGUACUAAUGAACCGUGAGGCUUAAC
rnacentral:rRNA from 1 species